UAGCAAACUAUGGGUGAAUCAAUGUUGAAUCUAUGUUGAGACCUAACGUCGAAAUUAUACAGAAAGCGCAAGGUUGAUAAAAUGUUGAGUCAACGUUUGCUUUUCAACCAUAAAUCACACUUUACCCAGAUAGCAAAAGAUGUUAAAUCAACGUUGAAUUAGGGUUAAGAAGGUUGAAUUGUGGUUACGGUUGAAGACUGAUGGUUGGAUCAACGUUGAUUCAACAACAUUUUGUCAACAUUGAAGUUUGUGUUUCAAAGAUACCACUGAAUCUACGUUGUAUUUUGGUUUAAUUAAAAUGUUUGACAAGUCAAUGUUUAAUUAAUGUUGAAUCUAUGUUUGCAAACAUGUAAUCUAUGUAAGCAAACGUUGACUCAACAUUUUAUCAACCUUGCGCUUUCUGUAUAAUUUCUACGUUAGGUCUCAACAUAGAUUCAACAUUGAUUCACCCAUAGUUUGC